CCCUUAGAUGUUCUGGGCCGCACGCGUGCUACACUGACCGGUGCAACAAGUUUCUUUCCUUGGCUCGAUAGGCCUGGGUAAUCUUUGAACACCGGUCGUGAUCGGGAUAGAUUCUUGUAAUUUUUGAUCUUAAACGAGGAAUUCCUAGUAAACGCAAGUCAUCAGCUUGCAUUGAUUACGUCCCUGCCCUUUGUACACACCGCCCGUCGCACCUACCGAUUGAAUGGUCCGGUGAAAUCUCCGGACUGGCGUGAGUCGGAGCAAUCUGACAAACGCCGGAAAGUUGAUUAAACCUUACCAUUUAGAGGAAGGUGAAGUCGUAACA
rnacentral:rRNA from 1 species